rnacentral:rRNA from 1 species
GGCUUAUUGAUAAUAAUUUUAGGUCUAGCCUGCCCAGUGAUAAGUUUAACGGCCGCGGUAUAUUGACCGUGCAAAGGUAGCAUAAUCAUUAGUUUUUUAAUUGAAAACUUGUAUGAAGGGUUUGAUGAGAAAGAGACUGUCUCUGUAAAAAUUUAUUAGAAUUUUAUUUUUAAGUUAAAAAGCUUAAAUUUAGAUAGAAGACGAGAAGACCCUAUAGAGUUUUAUAUUUAGAUGGUGAGAGAAUUUAAGGGUAAGGAAAAUUUAUUGUUUAUUUGAAAUAUUUUGUUGGGGUGACCGAAAAAUUAAUUUAACUUUUUUUGUUUAAAAUUACAUUUAUUUGUGAAAGAUUUGAUCCUAGAUUUUAGAUUAUAAGAUUAAAUUACCUUAGGGAUAACAGCGUAAUUUUUCUUAGAGUUCUUAUCGAAAGAAAAGAUUGCGACCUCGAUGUUGGAUUAAAAUUAAUUGCUGGUGUAGAGGCUAGUAUUAUUAGGUCUGUUCGACCUUUAAAAUUUUACAUGAUCUGAGUUUAAACCGGUGUGAG